rnacentral:rRNA from 1 species
UACGAAGGGGGCUAGCGUUGCUCGGAAUCACUGGGCGUAAAGGGUGCGUAGGCGGGUCUUUAAGUCAGGGGUGAAAUCCUGGAGCUCAACUCCAGAACUGCCUUUGAUACUGAGGAUCUUGAGUUCGGGAGAGGUGAGUGGAACUGCGAGUGUAGAGGUGAAAUUCGUAGAUAUUCGCAAGAACACCAGUGGCGAAGGCGGCUCACUGGCCCGAUACUGACGCUGAGGCACGAAAGCGUGGGGAGCAACAGGGAUUAAGAAACCCGGGGUAGA